rnacentral:tRNA from 1 species
GUCCUUGUAGCUCAAUGGAUAGAGCAGGGGUCUUCUAAGCCCUUGAUGCAGGUUCGAUUCCUGCCGAGGGCA